rnacentral:miRNA from 13 species
CUGUACAGCCCACUAGCUUUCC